ACAGAGCCAUCUGGCUUUCUUGCCUGGCACCAGACCUUAUGACUUCAUGAUGGAAUCUUCUCUCAGCAGGCAGAGGGGGAUUUGCCAGGGUAAAGAGGAGGCUGGGAGGAAGAGGCCUGCCGAGGGAGGCUUUGUCUUUUCAGCCAGAGUUUGACAAUUAGGCUUCAUCAUGUCACGAUGCGGUGCUACUGCUGACCCCAAAACACAACGCCGGAAGUGGUGCUCACUAGAGACUGUGAGUGGCAUUGUGCACCUGCCAUCUUGCUGAGGCCUCCCAGGGGAGCUCAGAGGACACCUGGCCUCCUUCAAUCCAGGACUCACUGUUGAAGUGGAGCCGGGGCCCUCGCAGGAAAGAAUGAGCUGUGGGAGGGCCACUGGUCCACCACAGGGAGUCUGUGCUGUCCAGUGCCCACUGGAUGGCAGGAAGGGUAGGGCCUUAGAUGUGUCAGAACUGUGACGCUGAAUCCGGAGCCCCAACCUCUCCUAGCCUCCUAGAGGAGGAUGACCCAGGACCCUUGUCCUCCCAACAGCAGGCCACCAGUUCAAGGGACAAGAAGCCCCUAAGCUCCCUCCACCUUUCACAUAGGGCCCAGGUGGCCUUGGAGUACCUGCCUUUCUUCUGCACCUAUGGGUGCCUCCUGGAAGAGGAGGGGUUGGUCCUGCAGCCCAAGACACCGCUCCAGGAGGACUCAGAACUGCUCAGUGGGUUCUUCCCUUACUACCGCUCUGAGGAGGAGAGUUUGCCCAGCCUGGCCCUUCCUGGCUGGUCACACAGGGGCUCCCAAGAUCUGCCCACUGAGAAGGAGGCACGGGCUGGCUGCUUCUGCAGGACAACAGUCAGGGACGAAUGCUCUACUCUAACAGGCCCCUGGACAGGCCCCUCUCAGGGCUGCUGCGGCCCUUGGAGCAAGGUGUCACUGGUUGGGAGCACAGACACUGCAGGAAGACUGUCCUGUUCAAGCCCAGCUUGACCACCUGCUAGGAGAGCGGCCUGGGGAACGUGGUUUCCUUAUAAAAGAGAGAACAGCAGCAGCAACAAUAAAGCCAUUGUGAGAAUUACAUACAACCACGUACCUAAAGUGCUCAGCAGGAUGCCUGACCCAAGCUCAGACAGAGGAAGCAGGAGCCACCUGAACAACUGAAGGGUGCAGACACCCAGAAGCUGGUUUUGUAAAUAAAUCGUGCACCUUGGCGCUGGUGCACUAAUUGGAUG
ensembl:lncRNA novel transcript